AAUUUUUUAAUUGACUCGCAUCUACCACUUAUAUACAUAUAUUUAGCAGCUUUAUUUCCAAAUUUCUUCAUAUGCAAUGUUGUGUAUCCAUUCAACAACACUGCACGCUCUUAAAAGUUAACAGCGCUCUCUUCUCUUCAAAACUUUUCAAUGACACUGCGCCUUAUUUGAUUGAUAAGCUCGUUUUCGCAAUUACCUUUUCAAUAGCUUUUCUUUUCACAAUUCUGUAAUUGUAGUAUGUGAAAAUAAAAUUGUCAAACUAGCCAUGCAUAUGUUUUUUGUUUCUUACACCUUUAGCUGCCUGUUGCCAAUUGCCUCUGCAUCAAUGCAGAAAGGAAGGUGUGUGCCAAUGCGGAGCACAUCACACAACAUGUGUGAAUGCCUGUGUCCGCCAAUAAUUUUUCGAAGUAAGGGUUGUGUUUAUGUAAAUGAGCGAAGUUAAUUGUUUUGGAGCCUUGUGGAGACACGUAGUUAUGGCCAACCAAAAGUGCAGUCUGCAGAUGUAUUUUGUGAUUUGCAACAUUUUGGGCACAUAUAUUUCGACGGGGUUUCCGGAUAACUGUUGGCUUGCGAUGCGCGCACGUCUCAAUGGCGGCGCCAAAGCUACUGGGUGUCAUAAUUGUCCGCUUUAAUUUUGGUAGCACCCACCUUUGCCAUCUGCUAAAUGGGUUUAACCACUACACCUAGAGAUGUUUCCAAUUUGUCGUGAAACGAGCUAGCUGGAGUCACAACGCUAUUUAUCAAGAUAUUAUUUACAAGCUGGUCGGAGAUUUUUCGCGCUCGAGCUAGUAACUAAAUUUAGAUGUACCGAAAAGAAAUCAAUUUGAAAUGUAUUUUAAGGAUUACAAAAACAAAAUUUUAAGCAUUUUGAAAAUGUUAUGAAGUUUUUACGUUUGCUAGUAUUAACGAUAAAAUUGUAUUAAACUGACUAAUAGUAUUUUAUAGUAAGAUUCAUUUAAACAAUUCGUAGCGGGUUUGAGAAAGUCGUACAUGAAAAUCAGCGGUAAAAACACGCUAUGCUUGAUUUAACGCAAGGCAUUCUGAAUGGGCUUAACCGUACAUAAAACCGGUCGCUUUGGUAGUGUUGACACAUGAGACGCGAUUCCACGUUCCCGCGACAGUCGGUUCCACGUAACUGGAACGGCCCGGAUUUAUAUCCGGUCAAGGACUGUCACUUCAGCAGCAUUCCCCGUAUAUGCAUGGGUUGUUGUUGUUGUUGUAGCAGCAUAAACAUUUACCUAUAUGCGUAGAGAAUAUUAAUGCUGCUACAACAACAACAACCCGAUUCCGCGCUAAUGAAUGGAGUACUUACCGUUACAUACAGAGAACUUUAAUGUUCUCUGUUACAUAGCCAUAGAAAACAAAGAAGUAUUGCACUUA